GUGCAAGCCCAGCUAGGCUCAGACAUCUUGGACCUUCAAAGUCUAAUAUCCCACAAAGGCCAAAGGACUCUUGAGAAUUGUGGUGGUCAAAUGGAGAAAAGCUGAGUUUGUCAUGUGUCGUCAACCGCAUCAGAAAAGUGGUUGCAAACAGCCAAGGACCAGCACCUACACAGCUCUUUCCACAGAAUGCUUUGCUGUUGGAAAAUUUCCAGGAGUUUCCACUUUGAUGCGGGAUAUGACCCACCAAAUUGAUUUCAAGAAUGAUUAACAGGUUGUAACCUACAGUUCAGAAACCACAGACUGAGAAGUUACAGUCAUAUAGGAUUUUAUUUAUUUAUUCAUGAGAGACACAGAGAGAGAGAGGCAGAGACACAGGCAGAG